rnacentral:rRNA from 1 species
GUGAACGCUAGUGAUAUGCUUAACACAUGCGAGUUCAAAUUUCCAUUUUAAAAUGGAAAUAGCGUACGGGUGAAUAAUGCAUAAGAAUCUACUUUAUAUUUUAGAAAUUAUAAAUCUAAUAAGGUUGUAUUAAAUUAACUUAAAUACAGUCUGAAAAUUAAAAUUGGUAUAAAAUGAGCUUGUGUAGAAUUAGAUAUUUAGUAAGGUAAUGGCUUACUUAGUCUACGAUUCUUAGCUGAUCUUAGCGGAUGAUCAGCCACAUUGGGACUGGAACAUGGCCCAACCUCUCUUUGGAGGCAGCAGUGAGGAAUAUUGGACAAUGAACGAAAGUUUGAUCCAGCAAUAUCACGUGAAUGAUGAAGGUUUUUUUUUAUUGUAAAGUUCUUUCGAUGAGGAGGAUAAUGACGUUACUCAUAAAAGAAGUCCCGACUAACCUCGU